GUUUGGGAGUCAAAGCUGGGGUCUUGCUGUAGCAGUGGUGAGGAGGAGAGUGUUGUGUUUGGGACUUUGAGUCAAACCAUUGAUGUUGACUAUGACUCUUGGCGUGACAGUCAGGUUGCUUUGGAUAUGCCUUUUCCUAAGUGAAAUAUGCUGUCUGCAACUUCAAGAAGGGCUGAAAGGUCACCAGAGAUUUGGAAAAAACACUUAUGGUGAUGUUGAGGGUCCCUCAUCAGGGCAGGAGCGCUACCUUAUGAUUACAGCGCCAUCAGGUUUUCAAACGCGCUACGUGGUUAAAUCCUUCAAUCGUUACGUGCUUGGAAAAAGGGUAUUUUCUGAAACCACCUACAUCCCACUGGACUUCCUUCCAACCGAUGCUGCUGCUGCUGCUGCUCCAGUUGCUUAUGACCCAAGUUUUCCUGGACAUGAAGCCCAGGCUGACCAAACUGUGGAUGUCAAAGGGUGACUUUGAGAGCGCUUUGUCAUGAAGUCCUGGACUCAAACCUUGAUGGAUAUCUAUCUACGCUUGACUUCAUAGUGUAGAUGAAACAAUAAAGGCUUUUCUCUAA